GGGAGGACGCGCGGUGCCGGGAGCUGGGAGGAUCGCGGAGUAGGCUGGGGGCUGCUGCCUCGCGGACAGUGAGAGGGGACAGGGAGAGGGGACGAAGAAAUGCUAGUUCUUAACCAAGGCUAUGCAAAGGGAGAGGGGAGGCGUGUCAAAGGAGCUGCAUAAUUCAGAUGGAAAAUCCACUCCUCUCCAAUUGUCUGGGCUUCUUAGCGGCAGCGAAUUGGGAGAGGGGUGUAUUUCCAAGGACAGGGAUGGCUUGUAGGUAUCCAGCUAGAUGAGACCUCGUGGGGGUGGGGGGGAGCUGGAAUCACAGGGGUCAUUCAUCCCAGGAAAAGGUGUGAGCCAAAGGCGG
rnacentral:lncRNA from 10 species